rnacentral:tRNA from 1 species
GUUAAUGUAGCUUAAUACAAACAAAGCACUGAAAAGCUUUAGAUGGAUAUUUUACCCCCAAUA